rnacentral:rRNA from 1 species
GCAGUCGAGCGGCAUCGGGAGGUAGCUUGCUAUCUUUGCCGGCGAGCGGCGGACGGGUGAGUAAAGUCUGGGGAUCUGCCUGAUGGAGGGGGAUAACUACUGGAAACGGUAGCUAAUACCGCAUGAUGUUACGCGACCAAAGCGGGGGACCUCCGGGCCUCGCGCCAUCAGAUGAACCCAGAUGGGAUUAGCUAGUAGGAGAGGUAAUGGCUCCCCUAGGCGACGAUCCCUAGCUGGUCUGAGAGGAURACCAGCCACACUGGAACUGAGAGACGGUCCAGACUCCUACGGGAGGMAGCAGUGGGGAAUAUUGCACAAUGGGCGCAAGCCUGAUGCARCCAUGCCGCGUGUGUGAARAAGGCCUUCGGGUUGUAAAGCACUUUCAGCGAGGAGGAAUGAAGCAAUGCAA